rnacentral:lncRNA from 10 species
GAAAGAAGUUCCUGCUGCUUUUUUCCCCUCUCUCUAUCCUCUUGCCGCUCGGCGUUGGAGGCAGAAAGAGCUGGCCCCUUACUCUGGCCCAUGAUAGCCUUCAGUUUGCUGAGGGCUUGUAUGUUUUUGCUCACUUGUUUUUCUACAAUAUUCUUCGGCUACAACGACCACCACAUAAACUCUUGUUCACAUAUUUUAUGUCCAGGACAAAGCUCCUAUCCUUGAUCAAACCUCUUCUUUCCGGAAAUGGCUCUACCUACCUCUGUUAUAAUCAUCUCGUCAUUAUCGCUUUUGCUCAUAGGCUGUCACCUUCAUUUGUGGAUUCAUUCCCACCCUUCAGUGGCUGUUUCAGU